rnacentral:tmRNA from 1 species
ACGACAACGAGCAGGAUAGUUUAGUUCCUGUGCUCGGUGGGAACUAAGCGAACCUUUAAACGGAGCUAGUCAUGAGAAAUCCUGUCUAUUGGAGUUUUUAAUGGCGAAAUUAAAAAAUAGACUAUGUACGUAGAAACCUAUGCUGAAAUAUCCAGGGACGCGGGUUCAAUUCCCGCCGCCUCCACCA